CGCUGCCUCUGUCUCUGGGCAGCCUGGGGCCACCCAAGCAGACUCCACACUCAGCUGGCAGCGUGCAGAGCCCUGCCUACCGGGGGCUGGGGAAGGAGCCCGAACCUGGCACAGGCGGAGGAUGGCUGCCCAGGACAACGCUCCCACCCUCAGGACUGGCAGUGAUCUGCUGCACGCUCAUGGACCCUGGGACGAGGCUGCUGGGUGAGUUCAGGACGUUCCCACCUCUCCCUCAUGUGGGUCCCGCUGUUGGCAGCUGUGGCCAGGGCAAUAUCUACCUUUCUUUGUCCCAUCAGCUAAAGAUUCUCCCCGGGAAGCAAUGGACAAAGUUCCUAGAUACUGCUCCCUCUGCCCGCCCCGGGGGCUGCUCUGCCCACAGGCUGCUAGCCCAACGGGAAGAGACGGGACGAGGAGAAUAGUUCCAGUUUUUUUGGAAGCCACCUGUUGAGCAAAUUCAGCCAUUGCCCACGGCCUUCAGUUGUGGGCUUGAACCGGCCUGAAGUUUGGGCUGCCCAAGUUCCACCCCAAGACUGAAUGAGUUCUGCUGAGUAGGAAGUGGGCAGCAGCACUGUGCCAACGCCUAGCACAGAGUCAGAGUAGUAGACAGGGAAAGCCAAGAGCAGCAGACACAGCAGCCUGCUGCGUCGUUACCUUGGCCAUACUGAUCGCACUUGAGAGCAAAGGUCGCAGCGCUCUAAGGCUGCAGAGAGACAGCUGCAAGUCUUUUGGUGAAACAACACGGCCCGUGUAUGUGGGACGUCAGACUAGCUGCUCACAAUGCUCGAAGGCCUUCAGGCCUAUGAUGCUAUAAACAAGCGCUUGCAAUGAUGCCAGGAGGAACUUAGCUGUGUAGAUCUACUGGAGAGUCUGACAGCACACUCUGACUGCUGUCGCUAUCUCCUUUCCUGUCGUGCCUGAUUGACGAGAUGUGCUGGCUCUCCUGCUCCGCACAGCACUUCCCACCCACCCAUGGGAACCGGCCAAUGUAGAAUAUUAGUGAGCUCAUAGAAGGAAACAGGCUUGUGAGUGUGUGGAGGGAGCUGGAGCAGGUUUCCCUUUGCAGACAAACUCCUUUAUGGCUGAGAAAGAAAUAGACCUAAUGGAGUUUCAGUAAAAUCCAGAAUGGGUUUGCUUGGCCCAGGCUGCGGAAGCCCACGCUCAGCGUUGUCAGGAUCACAACAGCUGCCUCUGUCCCCAGAGCAGAUACUAGCAGGUUCCCCAGAUCAGCAACUUCAGCCUCUGUUCAGUCACAUUCAAGCACCCACCUUCCCCAAGUAGUUAAAGAGACACUGUCAAGUUACAGAUUGCACCCCCCAGCAUAUUGCCAUUAACCUAUGAGAGCCUGCUCCUGCAAGGUGCCAAAUGUCCCUAACUCCCAGUGACUUCAGGGCAGUUAUUUGGUCUGUAAAAAUGCUCAGCAUCCUUUUGGGUGCCAUAAAUAAUAAAGUAUCAGAGGGGAGCCGUGUUAGUCUGGAUCUGUAAAAGCAGCAAAGAGU